rnacentral:rRNA from 1 species
UUUUGAUUAAAGACUAGAACAAAAGAUUUAACAUUUUCUUUCAUUUAUUUAAAUUAAAAUUUAAAUUUAUUUUAAAAGUAAAAAAACUUUUAUUACAUAGAAAGACGACAAGACCCUAUUGAACUUAACUUCAGUUAAGCUGGGGUAGCAAAAUAAUUAUUAUUUUAUUUAAAAUAUAUUAUAAUAUAUCUAAAAAAAUUAAUUUAAUCAGUUACCAUAGGGAUAACAGCGCAAUUACAUUUUAGAGUCCUCAUCUAAAAAUUAGAUUACGACCUCGAUGUUGAAUUAAUAUCCUAUUUUAAGCAAAUUUUUAAAAAGGAAGUCUGUUCGACUUUUAAAAAAUUACAUGAUUUGAGUUCAGACCGGUGUAAACCAGGUCGGUUUCUAUCUUCUAAAUAAUUUUUUGUAGUACGAAAGGACCUAAAAAUAUUUUAUUUCAAAUUGGCAGAUAAAUGCAUUAGAAUUAGAAUCUAAAUAAAUA